rnacentral:rRNA from 1 species
CCUACGGGUGGCUGCAGUGGGGGAUAUUGCACAAUGGGGGAAACCCUGAUGCAGCGACGCCGCGUGGGCGAAGAAGUAUUUCGGUAUGUAAAGCCCUAUCAGCAGGGAAGAAGAAAUGACGGUACCUGCGUCAGAAGCACCGGCUAACUACGUGCCAGCAGCCGCGGUAAUACGUAUGGUGCAAGCGUUAUCCGGAUUUACUGGGUGUAAAGGGGGCGCAGACGGCGAUGCAAGCCAGGAGUGAAAGCCCGGGGCCCAACCCCGGGACUGCCCUUGGAACUGCGUGGCUGGAGUGCAGGAGGGGCAGGCGGAAUUCCUGGUGUAGCGGUGAAAUGCGUAGAUAUCAGGAGGAACACCAGUGGCGAAGGCGGCCUGCUGGACUGCAACUGACGCUGAAGCACGAAAGCGUGGGUAUCGAACAGGAUUAGAUACCCUAGUAGUC